ACAGAGACCUCGAGCGUUAUCCGGAUUUAUUGGGCGUAAAGCGCAUGUAGGCGGAUAUAUUAGUCAGAUGUCAAAUCUUCGAGCUCAACUCGAAAACUGCAUUUGAAACGGUAUAUCUUGAGACAGUGAGAGACUAAUGGAACAUAUGGUGUAGCAGUAAAAUGCGUUGGUAUCAUAUGGAACACCAAAGGCGAAAGCAGUUAGUUGGUACUGUUCUGAUGCUGAGAUGUGAAAGCGAGGGUAGCAAAUGG
rnacentral:rRNA from 1 species